CCUACGGGGGGCAGCAGUGGGGAAUAUUGCACAAUGGGGGAAACCCUGAUGCAGCGACGCCGCGUGAAGGAUGAAGUAUUUCGGUAUGUAAACUUCUAUCAGCAGGGAAGAAAAUGACGGUACCUGACUAAGAAGCCCCGGCUAACUACGUGCCAGCAGCCGCGGUAAUACGUAGGGGGCAAGCGUUAUCCGGAAUUACUGGGUGUAAAGGGAGCGUAGACGGUGAUGUAAGUCUGGAGUGAAAGGCGGGGGCCCAACCCCCGGACUGCUCUGGAAACUAUGUGACUGGAGUGCAGGAGAGGUGAGCGGAAUUCCUAGUGUAGCGGUGAAAUGCUUAGAUAUCACGAAGAACCCCGAUUGCGAAGGCAGCUUACUAAACUGUGACUGACAUUGAUGCUCGAAAGUGUGGGUAUCAAACAGGAUUAGAUACCCGUGUAGUC
rnacentral:rRNA from 1 species